ensembl:misc_RNA non-protein coding RNA, repressor of NFAT
GGGAGCAAAUGGCACCAGGAACUUUGAAACUUUCCUUUGUAUAUUACAUUAAUCCACAUAAGAAAAUCUCUUUUAAUGAGGAGUGAUGUAGUCACAAACUCUCCAGAGCCAUAAUUAGAGCAAACUAAUUGAAGUUGUGUUUUGACACACUUUCCAAAUUCACGGGUGCUGGAUGACAUAUUCACAACACUGGUGCCGCACAACCAUGGCGACGGCAGAAUCAUUAGGCUAAUAACGCUUAUUUGCAUUCUUCUCAUGCCGCCAGCUCUCCCUUAAAUACUGUUUCUACCACUGCUCCUUUACUGUAACUUUCCACUCGGCGGUAUUAACAGUAAUUAUUAGUGCUUUAGUGGAAUUUUAAUGUUAAGAA